UACGUCGUUGACCAUCUCGGGGCUGACCUAGUCAGUUUCAAUAGGAGUCUGCUUCUAACCGUCUCUUGACUGAGACUAGCGACUUGUGCGCUAACUUUUGACUUGACCUCAAAUCAGGUAGGACUACCCGCUGAACUUAAGCAUAUCAAUAAGCGGAGGAAAAGAAACUAACAAGGAUUCCCCUAGUAACUGCGAGUGAAGCGGGAAAAGCUCAAAUUUAAAAUCUGGCGGUCUCCGGCCGUCCGAGUUGUAAUUUAGAGAAGCGUUAUCCGUGCUGGACCGUGUAUAAGUCUCCUGGAAUGGAGCGUCAUAGAGGGUGAGAAUCCCGUCUUUGACACGGACUACCAGUGCAUUGUGAUGCGCUCUCGACGAGUCGAGUUGUUUGGGAAUGCAGCUCAAAAUGGGUGGUAAAUGCCAUCUAAAGCUAAAUAUUGGCGAGAGACCGAUAGCGAACAAGUACCGUGAGGGAAAGAUGAAAAGAACUUUGGAAAGAGAGUUAAACAGUACGUGAAAUUGUCGAAAGGGAAACGGUUGCAGUCAGUCGCGUCCGCCGGGGAUCAACCUUGCUUUUGCUUGGCGUAUUUCCUGGUGGAUGGGUCAGCAUCAGUUUUGACCGCAGUUGAAAGGCUGGAGGAAUGUGGCACCUUCGGGUGUGUUAUAGCCUCCUGUCAUAUGCUGCGGUUGGGACUGAGGAACUCAGCACGCCGCAAGGCCGGGAUUCGUCCACGUUCGUGCUUAGGAUGCUGGCAUAAUGUCUGUAACCGACCCGUCUUGAAACACGGACCAAGGAGUCUAACAUGCACGCGAGUGUUUGGGUGGCAAACCCGAGCGCGUAAUG
rnacentral:rRNA from 1 species